CAAAGUAUAGCUUUAAAAAAGCAUCUUGCUUACACCAAGAAAAUAUACACCAACCCGUAUUACUUUGA
rnacentral:tRNA from 1 species